rnacentral:rRNA from 1 species
UGCAAAUCAAUAUAAAUUGAUUUUAUAAUUUAUUUAUUAAUUUUAUUUUUUUUAUAUAUAUAUAUAUAUAUAUAUUGUUUUAAUUUAUAUUAAAAAUAUUUAUAAAAUUUAUUUGUUUUAGUAAUUAAAAUAAAAAAAUAAAAUUUAUAAUAGUUUAUUUGUAUUGUGAAUGAAAAUUGAAAUAUAUUGAAAAAUAUUUAUUUAAAAAGAAAAAUUAAUUAUUUGUACCUUGUGUAUCAGGGUUUAUUAAUUAUUUAAUAAUUAUUUAUUUAUCUCGAUUUUAUAAGAGUUAAUAAUUUAUUAAAGUUAAUGUUUUAUAUUUAUUUCAUAUAAGUUAUUAGAAGUGAAAUGUUAUUCGUUUAUAAAUAUAUCUAGUUUUUUUAGAAAUAAAUUUAAUUUAAUAAUUUUUAAUUUUAUUUAUUAUUUAAUUAAUAAAUAAAUUUAUUAAUUAAAAUAUUUUAAGGGAUAAGCUUUAAAGUAAAUUUAUUAAAAAUUUAAUAAAUUUUUAUAGAAAUAUAUGCAUAGAAUUAGCAAUUGUUAAUAAUUUUGUUAUAAAUUAUUUUUAUAUAAAUAUAUUUUUAUUAAGUAUUUUAAUUAUUUAUAAAAAUUAUUUUUGUAAUUUAAUAUAAAAAUGAAUAAUGAUAAAAUUAGUAUAUAUAUAAUAGUGUAAAUUUAAAUAUUUAUGAUAAGUUUAUAUAAAGAAUUCGGCAAAUAUAAUACUCGCCUGUUUAACAAAAACAUGUCUUUUUGAAUUAUUUUUAAAGUCUAACCUGCCCAAUGAAAAUUUUUUAAUGGCCGCAGUAUUUUAACUGUGCAAAGGUAGCAUAAUAAUUNGUCUUUUAAUUGAAGGCUUGUAUGAAUGGUUGGACGAAGUAUAAUCUGUUUACAUAUAGAUUUAUUAUAGAAUUUUAUAUUUUAGUUAAAAAGCUAAAAUUUAAUUAAAAGACGAGAAGACCCUAUAAAUCUUUAUAAUUUAAUUUAUUUUUAUUUUUUUGAAUUAUUUUAUUUUAAUAAUUUAAAUUAUUUUAUUGGGGUGAUAUUAAAAUUUAANNAACUUUUAAUUUUUAAAAUCAUUAAUUUAUGUAUUAUUGAUCCAUUAAUAAUGAUUAAAAAAAUAAGUUACUUUAGGGAUAACAGCGUAAUUUUUUUGGAGAGUUCUUAUUGAUAAAAAAGUUUGCGACCUCGAUGUUGGAUUAAGAAAAUUUUUAGGUGUAGUAGCUUUAAUAAUAAGUCUGUUCGACUUU